ACACACACAAACCCCCUGGCCUUCAGCCCACUUUCCAAAUUUUUGGGCCCUGAAAAAACUGUUUUCAGAAGUCACAAGGUCAUACCGGCCUGUUAAUAAGUUUGGAAUAUGUGAAGGCAGGACCUGUUGGGUGUAUUUAACACAGAUUCGAAAGCAUUCUGUUCUAAUAGUUGAGCUUAUGCUUGCACCAGACACAACGUCUCUGUGGCAGAAUGAAGACCUGGGAAAUUAGCCUGACUGGAGUCCUGUUACAGGCUCUGAUUUGUGUCUCAGAUAGCGCUACUGGUGUGGCAAGGUCGGUCACUGUUGCACACGCUACACCAGACCAUCUCUCAUUAAGAAGCUGCCAUUGGAAUACAUCCAAGGUUACAGGAAACAGCACAACAGAGAAGUCUGCAAGAUAGAUGCUGUUGUGUUAUUCAUGACAUACGGGCGGAGUUUCUGCUCAAAUCCGAGUUCAAAGGCAGUGAGAGAAAUACUCAGAGCCCUCAGGGACAGAAAAAGAACAAAGAAGUCAAUGCUUAAUACGAAGUUUAAUACAGGGACAAUGUAGACCUGUUGUGUUUAGUGUGAAGACACCUUCAGCAAACUAAACUGGGUGUUGUUUUGUACAAUUACAAAGUGCCUUACACAGUAUGUCUAAUGUCUGUC